rnacentral:lncRNA from 1 species
AGCCGCAGAUACUGUCUGAUCAGUUCACAGUGUACUCACCCUGAGCUCCUUGUCUGUGAGCAGCGAUGGGGCCGUUAGGCUGUGUGGUACUGAUGCAUGUCUUACUCAAAUGCUAUGGAGACACCUACUUCUAUUAUCGCACAGGUGAUGGUGAUGGUGAUGAUGAUGAUGAUGAUGAUGACGGUGGUGAUGGUGAUGGUGAUGAUGAUAAGAUCACCUUGUCCUGUACAGAGUUUGGCUGGCAGAUUGACAGAGACUUUGACAACCGCGUGGAUUGUAAUGUAGAUUUCUCAUCUGAAACAAGCCAGAAGAUGGAACCCCGCUUAAAAGGAUGUGAGAAAAAAUGGAGAAAAAGAAAAUUCCGAAUAAAAAAAAGGAGUGGAUUCUAUGCUUGUGUCCGUGAUUUUAGUUCUAAUUUCAUCUACCCAUUCAAACCGGACCCUCACGUUGGAGAUACCUACAUUGUAGCCAGACAUCGAAAGCUGGCCGUUCAUGACCCUCCACAGAAUGUGAUUAAAGAGUCCCCCAUCCUUUUAGACUGUGCCUUCGAGGAACCAGAGCCACAGUGGCCCUACGUAGUGUACUGGCUGAAGAUGAGCGAUGUGAGCGAGAGGAAGAUCAGUGCCUGCGUAGACUUCUACAGCAGUGAGGGCCAGGACCGUGACCAACACUGCCCCAUAGACCCACACUUACUCGGCAGGAUAUCCAGCACCUCACCGGGUCCUUCCGGGGCUUCAGAACCUCAGGCUUCAGAACACCCAGGCCACAUCUCUCAUAAUGUCAGGAUUGACCGAAGCCGGCCUGGGGACAGCGG